CAGAGGUGAAGGAUGAUCCGUCAAUGAUCGUUUAGAGACGGCGGAUCGUGCCGACACAGAAUUUGACGAACAUAAUUUUCAAGGCGAGUGGGCCUUGCCUUACUUUGGUUGGGCCUGCCCGUCAAUUUUUGGAAGCCUCGAUCUCUCAAUCGAGGUUC